UCCGUAGGGAGCGAGCGUUGUCCGGAUUUAUUGGGCGUAAAGAGCGCGUAGGCGGCUCGGUAAGCCGGAUGUGAAACCUCCAAGCUCAACUUGGAGCGGCCAUUCGGAACUGCCGUGGCUAGAGUCUGGUAGGGGAACACGGAAUUCCUGGUGUAGCGGUGAAAUGCUUAGAUAUCAGGAGGAACACCAGUGGCGAAGGCGGUGUUCUGGGCCAGUACUGACGCUGAGGCGCGAAAGCGUGGGGAGCGAACAGG
rnacentral:rRNA from 1 species